AUACUCGGCUCGAUACCCAGUGCUUCCAUACAGUGUUGAUCUGGAUAACGUGUGGGCGCCAUAGGGCGCUGAUAAAGAGCAAUGUAGCGCUCUCUCUGUGCGUCAUCUCUAUAGGCCACGUGCAUAUCAUCGAAAUCCUGCAUCCUGUAGAAGUUAGGAAAGUGAUCCUGAAAAUAUAAACCAUUCAAAUUUUUAGUCUCG
rnacentral:lncRNA from 1 species